rnacentral:tRNA from 1 species
GAGGGUACAGCUCAGCGGUAGAGCGCAUGCCCAGCGUGCACAAGGUCCUGGGUUCGAUCCCCUGUACCUCCA